GAUAAACGCUGGCGGCGUGCUUCAGGCAUGCAAGUCGAACGGACCUUCGGGUCAGUGGCGGACGGGUGAGUAACACGUAAGUAACCUGCCCAGAAGUGGGGAAUAACUAGCCGAAAGGCUGGCUAAUACCGCAUGUGAUGGUUGUUCCCUGGAGCAAUCAUGAAAGGCGAAAGUCGCUUCUGGAGGGGCUUGCGGCCGAUUAGCUAGUUGGUGGGGUAAUGGCCUACCAAGGCUUCGAUCGGUAGCUGGUCUGAGAGGACGGACAGCCACACGGGGACUGAGAUACGGCCCCGACUCCUACGGGAGGCAGCAGCUAGGAAUCUUGGGAAUGGGCGAAAGCCUGACCCAGCAACGCCGCGUGGGCGAUGAAGGCCUUCGGGUCGUAAAGCCCUUUUGCAGGGGACGAUGAUGACGGUACCCUGCGAAUAAGCCACGGCUAACUACGUGCCAGCCGCCGCAGUAAUAC
rnacentral:rRNA from 1 species